CAAUGACAGGAUAGCAUGGGCACUUCAUGAGGAAUGACAGUUAAUAUUGAAAUACAUUAUGAAGAUAAUUUAGUAGCGGCGUAUUGUGAGCCAUUUGUUAAGCCUAUCGCUGAUUAAGUGUCGACAAAUAUUCUGCGUGCUUAUUUAUGCAAGGUUUGCAACUCAAUAAUUGAGGGACUCAGUCUUUUCAAACACAUAAUCCAACGUGUAUUACGUUAUAGUAUGUCUUUGUCUUUUUAAUUGUUUUCGGUUAAUUGAAUUGGCCUACACAUACACAUGGUAUUGUUUUGUGAACCACAUCCGUGUCGUUUUGGUUUUUAAGUAGGCCUACUCUGGGUGAGUAUUUCAAGAUAUGCGAUUAUCAAUAUGCACCCACCAGAUGCUGGCCAGAUCCGUGCAAAAACCUCACGUGCGUCUGCGCGUGCGAGCUACCGUCCCGCGUGCGUGCGUGUAUCAGUGUGUGUAAAUGCACACGCGCACGUGCACUCAUGGUACUUGCGGCGGUCGUGGUUGAGUGCGUGGCUUUUACUGGAGUGGGGGAAAACACGGAAGCCUACAUGUUGUGUUUUUUUUCUUUCUCCGAGAAAACGUGGAGAGGAGAAGAGGAGGAGAGGGGUUGGUGGUGGGAGGGGUCUUGCAUGCCAGACGUCAUCGCCUGUGCCGAGGAGUAUAGGCUGUACUGUCAGCCUGGUGUCAGUCUGAUGAAGAUUGGCAUUCAGGCUUUGCGUGGAGAGCUGUGUGAGCGAUCAUCCAGAGGAGAAGAACGUACGUCGAGCGCUCCUGUAUUGCUGUGGGCCAAAAGCAACUGUAAGUCUCCUGCCACCUUUAUAUUAAAUGGAAAAGCUCUUUUUCUACUUAAUGUGUUUAUUUGUGUGUGUCAAUACCAGGCCAACAUGCUCAACCAACCACAGAAGUAGUACUUAGACGUGUGUGUGUGUGUGUGCAUGUGUGUGUGUGUGUGUGUGUGUGAGUGUGUGUGUGUGUGUGUGUGUUGGUGUGUUUGCGUGCGUGCGUGCGUGCGCUCAAACAUAUUCAUUUUGCCUUGUUGCACCCUCUGUUGGCACAUCUUGCAGAGAUAAUGGUUCUGUAGUCACCAACAUCAGUCUGUGAAUUAAUUUAGGAGCACACAAUCAAAUGUAACUCACGCUAUAAACCCGAUUCACGCCCGACUCAUGUUUAUUGAUUUCCCAUUCCCUGUCGCUGCGCAACCGAGUCUGCCAAAGCCAAAUAAUCAUUUCAAUAAGGGAAAAAACAAACGACAACCCCGAAACAUCUUCCUUACAUGCCUGCCAUCCAAAAUGAUCUCUUCUGCUUCCUGCUCGGUCCCACAAAUUCUGUGUGCUUGUUUCAAACUGUGGUUAUUACUGUAGGUGUUCCCUGUUUAACACGCUAGGUGCUGUGGAAGAGUGGUCUCUUGAGAGGGUACCGGGUGUGUGUGUUGUAGUUGGGGGGCCGGGGGAGGGCCGGGGAACGGUGCUGCUGUUAAAAUAAAAGACGUCAAUUCUUCUGACACCACACUCAAUUUAGACAACACUGCUGAGUUUCAGGGAGGCAUGCUUCACAACACGGUCUAAAGUUCUGAGAUUCGAGUCACAUGGUGUGUGUGUGUGUGUGUGUGUGUGUGUGUGUGUGUGUGUGUGUGUGUGUGUGUGUGUGUGUGUGUGUGUGUGUGUGUGUGUGUGUGUGUGUGUGUGUGUGUGCGCGUGUGUGUGUGUGUGUGUCUGUGUGUGUGUGAGGCGUUUUCGCUCGAGGUGAUGAUGGUUUUACUCGACACCCCCAACCACCUCCGCAACCCCUUCCCAGACCUCCUCCUCGCUCCUGCUGACAGCUGGGAGCACAGGGAUUAGACAUAUUAAAUCUCAUGGUUCAUAAUAAGUCCUUCAGAGUUAAAUGAGUGAAUAUGUUAAAACAAUCACCGUAGCUCAGCAUACACCCUUUCAAUUAUACCUGACGGGAGUGCACAGACUAAAUACAUAUUUUGACUUAUUAUAUAGACAGUAGUAAAACACAAUUAUAACUUAAAGCGGCUGGUGUCAGUGGUUUUGAAGGAUUCAUUGUGCAUGGGCCGCAUGUGAUUUCAGCCCAUUUGGAGGGAAGACCAUUUUAACUUCAAAGAGCGAUGACUGAUCUACGACUUCAAGCUUGUUAACAGAAACAUGAAGGACGACUCCUUUCACAUGCUUUUCUUAUUAAGUCUUGAAAACUAAUUAACAUAUACAAUUAAUAAAAAAAGUUGAAAAAAACCUUAAAAUAUGAAAAUAGAAGGUUUUAUUCCUGCUUUUAAAUGACGAAAUCUAACGAGGGGAGAGUUAAUCUGAUUCUAAGCGACGGUCUGUGGAUUGUAUGUUCAGUGUAUUUUAAUGCCUUUUAGUAGCACUACUAGGGAACCCCAAUUGCUGUUUCACACCAUCUAAUUCCUCAAAGUAAAACUUGAUAGCCUCAGUCCUCCCAUCCUAAUUGCUAUUGACAGCGGUGAUAGCAGCCCUCCAUGAACCCACGU